rnacentral:pre_miRNA from 1 species
GAGUGUCAUGUUGGCACUCAAAAAAUUUCAGAUUUUAGAGCAUUUUGGAUUUUGGAUUUUUGGAUUAGGGAUACUC